rnacentral:rRNA from 1 species
AUUGAACGCUAGCGGGAUGCCUAACACAUGCAAGUCGAGCGAGCGGCGGACGGGUGAGUAAUGUCUGGGAAACUGCCCGGUGGAGGGGGAUAACUACUGGAAACGGUAGCUAAUACCGCAUACCAUCAGAUGGGCCCAUAUGGGAUUAGCUAGUAGGUGGGGUAACGGCUCACCUAGGCGACGAUCCCUAGCUGGUUUGAGAGGAUGACCAGCCACACUGGGACUGAGACACGGCCCAGACUCCUACGGGAGGCAGCAGUGGGGAAUAUUGCACAAUGGGGGAAAGCCUGAUCCAGCCAUGCCGCGUGUAUGAAGAAGGCCUUCGGGUUGUAAAGUACUUUUAGCAGGGAGGCGUUAUCCGCAGAAGAAGCACCGGCUAACUCCGUGCCAGCAGCCGCGGUAAUAC